rnacentral:rRNA from 1 species
GACGAACGCUGGCGGCGUGCCUAACACAUGCAAGUCGAACGGAGUUAAGACUUCGGUUUUAACUUAGUGGCGAACGGGUGAGUAACGCGUGAGGAACCUGCCUCUCAGUGGGGGACAACAGUUGGAAACGACUGCUAAUACCGCAUAAAACCGUAGUACCGCAUGGUACAUCGGUCAAAGAUUUAUUGCUGAGAGAUGGCCUCGCGUCUGAUUAGCUAGUUGGUGGGGUAACGGCUCACCAAGGCGACGAUCAGUAGCCGGUCUGAGAGGAUGAACGGCCACAUUGGGACUGAGAUACGGCCCAGACUCCUACGGGAGGCAGCAGUGGGGAAUAUUGGGCAAUGGGGGAAACCCUGACCCAGCAACGCCGCGUGAAGGAAGAAGGGCCCUCGGGUUGUAAACUUCUUUUACCAGGGACGAAGAACGUGACGGUACCUGGAGAAAAAGCCACGGCUAACUACGUG